CCGAGCUCCAUGGUCGCAGGAGGUCGGCUCCUCCGAGCUCCUUAAGAUAAUAAGUUCCGGGUCGGACUACUUUGACCUCAUACGGGCCUUCCCAGUUAGGGGCGAGCUUCCCUCGAUCAUGAGGUUGCGAGAAAGCGGCUCGUCGAAGCACUAGAUCUCCUGCUUUAAAGACUUUGUUCUUGACCCGGGCGUUGUAGUAUCGAGCGACUUUCUGUCUGUAGGCUGCCAUUCGAACCUGAGCUAUCUCCCGUCUUUCUUCCAGCAGGUCGAGAUUGGCUUUAAGACUUCACGAAUUUUGAUGUUCGUCGAACGCUACGACUUGCGCCGACGGGAGUUUAAGCUCGAUUGGGAUGACGGCCUCCGUACCGAAGGCCAAAGCAAAGGGGGUUUCCUCUGUGGGCAGCCUCUGGGUAGUUCGAUACGCCCACAGCACAUGAUAAAGUUCGUCCGCCCAAGUUCCCUUUGCCUUUUCGAGCCUUGUCUUAAUCCCCUGC
rnacentral:lncRNA from 1 species